UACGUAGGGACCGAGCGUUGUCCGGAAUCAUUGGGCGUAAAGAGCGUGUAGGCGGCCACUUAAGUCCUGCGUGAAAUCUUGCGGCUCAACCGCAAGCGGUCGUGGGAAACUGGGUGGCUAGAGUGCGGGAGAGGAGGAGUGGAAUUCCUGGUGUAGCAGGUGGAAUGCGACAGAUAUCAGGAAGAACACCCGUGGCGGAAGGCGGCUCUCUGGGACGGUGACUGGACGCUGAGACGCGAAAGCGUGGGGAGCAAACAGG
rnacentral:rRNA from 1 species